ensembl:lncRNA
AAAUUCAGAUUGUAAUCAAUAAAACAAACAUUACAUAUAGGAAUUUAAAUGUAUAAACAGUUAGAAAUUCAACAAUAUCUCCUAUGAUACUAUUACACAAGUUCACAAUUUGUAAAAACUAUAGUACAAGGUUACUAUACACCAAGAGGAUCUUUAUUCCUUUUCACAUGAUUUUGGGGUUCUCAGCCCCUGCAGGCCACUGCUCCCACGUGUCUCAGCUAUCCUGCUUGGUUCUUUCUUUUUGCUUUGGUUAAUGCCACAGGGAAGGGGAGGUAACUCUUCCUAACACCCUCCCUCGCUGCUCAUACCCCAGGUUCAGUGACACCUAAUUCCACAUUGCCUGUAAACACCCUGGCUGGUGCACACGAGUUCCCUUCCUGGCCAUAAAGUUUGCCCAAGGUACUCCCUGAAAAUACACCUGAAUGUCAAGUGUUGCCACAAGACCAAAGCAAGCUGUACUGCCACCCUGCCUACUCAACAGCCAAAACUGAACCCCCCCCCAACGGUUCAAUAGAGGCUAAAAUAGAGGGAGCUCCCCAAGCCUUGGCAAACUGAAGGGCACUUCUGGGAGCUCCCCUUCUCCCUGAGCACCAGGAGCCAGGAUCCGCUCUGCUGCCCAUCACUUAGGCCCCCCUCACCCAACUGCUGUACCCCGUGCCCAGGCCAAGCGCUGGCACCACUCACUCCAGUGCCUCGGCAAUUGGGAACUGUGUUUGGGGUGUCACCUGAGGAUUGCUGUCAGCCUGCCGGGGGGGCUGCCAGGGGGAAAAAAUACACAAAUGACAUGAAGCUCUCACAGAACCCUUAACUAAAGUUACCCCAACCCUUCCCCUCCUCACCCUGCACAGGCAGGGGCCUGUCCCUGGGCACAGCGGGUGCCCAUCGGGUGCCACUUCCCAGCUAAAACCAUAUGAAAAGGAAUCCCAUUCUACCUGCGCCAAAGGCUACUGCAGUUUCUUACAGCUCCAUUCAUCCACUGUAAUUUUCAUUUUCCAAAUACAAAAAUACAACAAUUCUUAUUGAAAUCUAUCCGCUGGUAGUUUUAGUACACAAAAAAAGCAAAGUAUUUACAAAAUUAUACAGUUUAAGAAAAAACUCUGUACAAAAAAAUAUAUAAAUCCUUUUGUUCCCUCUAUUCUUUUUUAAACUGUCAGGACUCAAACGUUUGCUGCAAUGGAUUUUUCAAAACAUACACUGAGCGAGCCACAGACAUGACAUUAGAGGUGAGGGGAGAACAGGCAGACAGUCUCCUAAGCAGGUAGGGUUGGUUUCCCCUUGUUUCUUUGCGUCUCUAAUUUAGCCUCAGCAUUAGCAGGAGAGUCCUAAUACAUGAAGAGGGAGUUUCAGUGUGAAGAGACAGAAUACUGGAAGACAAACUCCCUUCAGGUGACACAGCAACAGAAAGUGGUACAGGUUUGACUUUGGAUACACCACAAAUCCGGCACAAGGGUGGCAAGGGCAGGGCACUGCGAACCUGAAGGCACGCUCAGCUCCCUCUCACUGCCCACGGUCAGAGCCAGGGCCAUUAAAGGUUUUAAUGCCUUAUUAUUCUUCAAUUAGGAACUUGCUGGGAAUUACCC